CAGCCGCCGCGGGAAUACGUAGGGCGCAAGCGUUAUCCGGAAUUAUUGGGCGUAAAGAGCUCGUAGGCGGUUUGUCGCGUCUGCCGUGAAAGUCCGGGGCUCAACCCCGGAUCUGCGGUGGGUACGGGCAGACUAGAGUGAUGUAGGGGAGACUGGAAUUCCUGGUGUAGCGGUGAAAUGCGCAGAUAUCAGGAGGAACACCGAUGGCGAAGGCAGGUCUCUGGGCAUUAACUGACGCUGAGGAGCGAAAGCAUGGGGAGCGAACAGGAUUAGAUACCCCCGUAGUCCCUGUCUCUUAUAA
rnacentral:rRNA from 1 species